GUGAUUCCCAUCAUUCAUCAUGACAGAAGCUAGGAAAAGCAGCAACAAGUCCAAUACAUCGGAGGAAUUAAGAGUAGAUGAUCCCUUCUACAUCUCUCCUUUUGAUAGUCCAACGGCUGUAUUGGUAUCGCCUCCUCUGAAUGGAGACAAUUAUGGGUCAUGGCUCCGCGCAAUUACCAUGGCUUUAAGAGCCAAAAACAAAGUUGGGUUUGUGGAUGGAACCAUAGAAAAACCUAGGGAGGACAAAGAAAAGGAAGUAUCCAGGUGGGAAAGAUGCAAUGAUCUAGUUGCAUCAUGGAUUCUCAAUUCUGUCUCUGAUGAAAUUCGGAGUAGCAUUCUCAAUGCCCACACUGCAAGAGCCAUAUGGAUUGACUUGUCUGACCGAUUUUUGCAGUCCAAUGCUCCUCAAAUUUAUCAACUAAAGCAAUCCAUAUCAGCACUCAAACAAGAACUAUUAGUUUCGGCUUAUUUUACGAAACUCAAAUCGCUUUGGGAUGAGUUGAAUUCACUCCAAGCUUUCCAACCAUGUACGUGUGGAAGUGGAAAGUUUUUCUCUGAAUGGCUCCAACAAGAUAGGGCAAUGGAAUUUUUACAGGGUCUUCAUGAGCGUUUUGGUCCACUUCGAAGUCAAAUCUUAUUGAUGGAGCCUUUACCGAAUGCAGCGAAGAUAUAUUCUCUUGCUCGACAAGAAGAGAAACAACAAGAGAUUCAAUCUUUAUCGACUCCUAUUCCAGAUGUUGCAGCACUUAACAUCACAGCAGGUCAAAUAACUACAAUUCUAAUCGACUGAUGGAUGGUCGAAAUAGCCAUAAUACAGGUGGAGGAAAUCGUCCACAUCUAAGUAGUGGAAAUCGACCAUAUUCUGGUGACGGAAAUAACUUCUAUUCUGGUGGUGGAAAUCGCUCAAAUCCCGAUGGUGGAAAUCGCACAUAUACUGGUGGUGGAAGCAAUUCAUCCGGCGGCGGAUAUAACUCAUAUUCCAGUGGUGGAAAUAAUUCUAACCGCAAGGUUAAAUAUCAUUGCGACCAUUGUGACAAGGAUGGUCACUCCACGGAGCGUUGCUAUAAAAUCAUUGGGUAUCCUCCAAAGCGUUCAGAGUUCUCUAAUCUUUCCACUAAAUCUGUGAACAAAACGAGUCCUGCUGUUGUAACUCAAGAGCAAUAUGACAAGUUAUUAGCGAUGCUCUCCUCAGGUAAUAUCCACCACAAUUCCAACUUAGCAGGACCUAUCAACGAGGAGGACGAUUGGACGGGGGAAUAUCCAUGAGGGGCUCUAUUACUAUCAGGCAUCACAAACGGCUUUGGCGGUGGUCACGCCCUCCUCUUUCGACCUUUGGCAUUG